UGUUUUUCGAGAACAAAAUUC
rnacentral:piRNA from 1 species